CCUACGGGAGGCAGCAGUGAGGAAUAUUGGUCAAUGGGCGUAAGCCUGAACCAGCCAAGUCGCGUGAGGGAUGAAGGUUCUAUGGAUCGUAAACCUCUUUUAUAAGGGAAUAAAGUGUGGGACGUGUCCUGUUUUGUAUGUACCUUAUGAAUAAGGAUCGGCUAACUCCGUGCCAGCAGCCGCGGUAAUACGGAGGAUCCGAGCGUUAUCCGGAUUUAUUGGGUUUAAAGGGUGCGUAGGCGGCCUUUUAAGGCAGCGGUGAAAGUCUGUGGCUCAACCAUAGAAUUGCCGUGGAAACUGGGAGGCUUGAGAAUGUUUGAGGCAGGCGGAAUGAGUGGUGUAGCGGUGAAAUGCUUAGAUAUCACGCAGAACCCCGAUGGCGAAGGCAGCCUGCCAAGCCAUGACUGACGCUGAUGCACGAAAGCGUGGGGAUCAAACAGGAUUAGAUACCCUUGUAGUC
rnacentral:rRNA from 1 species